UACGUAGGGUGCGAGCGUUAAUCGGAAUUACUGGGCGUAAAGUGUGCGCAGGCGGCCGCGCAAGUCGAGUGUGAAAGCCCCGAGCUUAACUUGGGAAUUGCGCUCGAAACUACGUGGCUGGAGUGUGGCAGAGGAAGGUGGAAUUCCAGGUGUAGCGGUGAAAUGCGCAGAUAUCAGGAGGAACACCAAUGGCGAAGGCAGCUCGCUGGGACGUGACUGACGCUGAGACGCGAAAGCGUGGGGAGCAAACAGG
rnacentral:rRNA from 1 species